UACGUAGGGAGCAAGCGUUGUCCGGAAUUACUGGGCGUAAAGGGUGCGUAGGCGGUUUGUCAAGUCGAAUGUGAAAUACCGGGGCUCAACCCCGGGGCUGCAUUCGAAACUGGCAGACUUGAGUGCAGGAGAGGAAAGCGGAAUUCCUAGUGUAGCGGUGAAAUGCGUAGAUAUUAGGAGGAACACCGGUGGCGAAGGCGGCUUUCUGGACUGUAACUGACGCUGAGGCACGAAAGCGUGGGGAGCAAACAGGAUUAGAUACC
rnacentral:rRNA from 1 species